AUCGUUGUUUAGAAACUCUAUCGGCCUCCGGAGCCGAAGGUUAGAGGUUCGAAUCCUCUCGGGGAUA
rnacentral:tRNA from 1 species